CAUCCUGGGGCGGUAGUACGUCCCAAGGGUUGGGCUGUUCGCCCAUGAAAGCGGUACGCGAGCUGGGUUCAGAACGUCGUGAGACAGUUCGGUCCAUAUCCGGUGUAGGCGUUAGAGUAUUGAAAGGAUUUCUCCUUAGUACGAGAGGACCGGGAGAGACAUACCUCUGGUGUACCAGUUAUUGUGCCAACAGUAAACGCUGGGUAGCCAAGUAUGGAAAGGAUAACCGCUGAAAGCAUCUAAGUGGGAAGCCUACCUUAAGAUGAGUACUCUCACUGUUUUAAACAGUUAAGGUCACGGCGAGACUAGCCGUUUUAUAGGCAUUAAGUAUAAGUGCAGUAAUGUAUUCAGCUGAGAUGUACUAACAGACCGA
rnacentral:rRNA from 1 species